rnacentral:misc_RNA from 1 species
CCUCGAGUGAGAUUCCUGUUGUGAAGCUUGAUCAACCACUUGAUCAUACUGUUUGGUUAAGUCAUCCACCGCCAUUGUUGAGACUUGCAAUUGUGGAUUUGGCUUUGCCAAGGAAAACAGAAAGUGGAUCUAAUAUUAUGAUGUUUUCUGAUCCUCUUAUGCCUGAAAGAAUCUAUUCAGUUCAUGAUGGUGGGAUAGAUUCAAUAUUGUUGCAUUUUCUUCCAUUUACCAGUCAGUCCAGUGGGAAGGAAGAGACUGUCCGAGCUCCCUCUGUGCAUCCUGUCCUUAGCACAUGCCAGGCAGAUAAUUCCUCACCCCUAUGUGGUUUUGAGGCAUUAUCAGAUUCAUUUGGAUACUCAUGGAUUAUAGGAGUCACCUCAAUGCAAGAAUGUUUUGUGCUCGAAAUGAAAACAUGGAAUUUACUGCUUCCCAUACAUGUUGAUGUGGAGAAGAAAUCCCCAAUCUCUGAAGAAUGGAAAGAGGGAGAAACUCCAUACAUCAUAAGCAAAGAACUUCUUAGUGGUCCUAAGGUGGUUCUUGUUCCUCAGGCCUCGUCAAAUCUUCGAUCUGUUGCUGCUGAUUCUAUUGAAGGCCGAUCAUCUCUGCAUCAGUAUUUCAAGCUUUUUCAUGAAAAUUAUGUUGAAUAUGCUCAUAAGGUGUUUUUCGAGCUCAAGCACCAUGGCCCUCACUUGAAGAGAAUCAUUGAUGACCAGCAUGCUCGCUUGAGUGAGGCACAAGAGAAGCUGUUGAAAGUGGAGGAGAAACAGUCAGGAUUGGGGGAGAGGAUUGAUCGUGCAAUCCAGGUACACAAUCUUCUGGAACAACGCUUGGAGCGCUUAAGGAAUUUGCCUGGUGCUCACAAGAAACCUUUGUCGAGAGCAGAGCGUGAAUUUAAGUCUGAGCUUGACCACUUUACAGGAGUUGAGUUGGAUGCUUUGCGUACUUCCAUCGAUACUUUAAAAUCAAGGUUGAGAAGGCACACACAAUCAUCAAAAGCUGAUGUGUUGAAUCAGCAAAGGCAACUUUCAGGGAAGAAUUAUGUCCAAGAUGUUCAAAUCUCCCAACUGAAAUCUUCGCUAGCAAAACUCUCGCUUGUCAACAGUGAAAACUCCAAAAAAGUUAAGCUUGUUGAAUCUGUAUUAAAAUGUCAAGAAAGCAGUAGAUGAUGAAACAUACUACCUUUUUGGUUCUUGUCUUAGAUAUUGGUUUCCCAUGUUGGUUUGUAGUGCAAGAAUGCUAUUAGGUGCUUUUAUAUUGGACCCAUGUUGCUCUUGGACCAAAACAUUUGUAUUUUGGCAGGCGAAGUGGGAAAGAUGCUUUGGCCG